CUUCGACUCAUUCCACCUCCUGCGGGCACUCCACGUGGCGAACGCCAAAGACCUCGUGCCACAGAACCCUCCCUCUGUGUUGUUAAUGUGGUACGUGGACUGCGCGACAGCAACGAUCGUAAUUGACACGGACCGCUCACCCUACGUGUUUCACAAAAUAUCGACCCACCACGUCCUCGAGUUGUACCUGCACGGUGUCGCAGGGGAUCAUGGCGACAAGGCGGACUUCAAACUAGUGGUUCCCCGCGACGUGGCGCUGGUGAACAAGACUAUCGACCUGCUGACAGACGAAUACCCAGUGCCGGGGAGCUGGUGGGUCAUUAAAAACAAAUGCAUGGUCAAGGGCACCGAUGGCCAGUGGAAACUCGAUGACUUCGAAGAAGCAUAGUUAAGUGGUUAAGACGGUAUACAACAUUGUUGCCUAUGGAUUCGGCAUGUACUAUAUAUGCUCUUGUGCUUGCUUGUGUGUUUGCAUUUCAAUCAUGUUGUCGGGCGUGAAUAUUUGUAGCAGAUGACGGCCUGGCCGAUCAUUCAGUUAUUGUCCUUCUAUUUCAUGCCUCCUACAAAUCUCGCUAUAUCAUGUACUUAUGCAUUGCUUCAUUGCUUUUAAAAAUGUCAUAUCCCGUGUCUAAAAGAGCUUCUUCUUUUUUAAUCUAAAGUGGCAUGUUCUUGGUGUUAAUGACAUGUACUUAGCCGAUUCAUGGUGCGUGAAUUGAGUUGGACGAACACAGGUAGUCCCGAGAAAAGAAAGAAAGCUGGUUCGGGAUCAAUCAACCAAAGCAAAAAGACUAAAUAAGACAGCUCGGUUAAAAUAGAUUUUGAUUUCUAUAUAACUUAAUGACUUUGGUCGUCAAGAGUCAUGGUCUCAUGGAAGCCAUACGUACUACAUUGAGAGGUUGGGUAAAUGAUUAAUAGAAAUAGGGUGAACUAAAAUCGCAUAUCAUUGAGAUUCAAAAAGCAUCUCACUGGUGUUAGGAUAUUCUAGCCACAUCAUAUGUCCAUAUAAAACAGUAUUUCAGACCCGCAAAAAGAACAGUAUUUCAGAAAUCGCAAUAUGCAAAAAAAAAAAAAACUCACACCACCACAAUACAUGUCGUCUCUGUGGGUAAAUUAAUUGAAGCUGCCCUAUAUGAAAAUUGUCCCAACCAUCAGAUGCCAGGUGUCAGGCUUCUCCUUGGCAUCGAGUGAAAUCCAUUAUAUGCUAGAAAUUGGCCGUGUUUGCUGAAUCAAUCAAAGGGCAUGUACGCGUUUAUUAUCUAGGAGUAUCUUAGAAGCUAACUUGCUCCUUAAUUCGCUUAAAAUAGAUUUUUGAUCUCCAUAUAACUUAAUGACUUUGGUCGUCAGAUUUUUGAUCUCUAUAUAACUUAAUGACACAGGUAGUCCCAAGAAAUGAGUUUGAUCCGAUUCUUACUCCAGCAACUCACACCCCCUCCCUCCCCCUCCCCCCCCGGGCGACCCGGGCGGCAGCGCGAGCUCCACUCCCAGUCCUCCUCUCCCCCCCUGGGGCCGCCGCCAGGGCAAAGCCCCACAAGGUGACUGGCGGCGGGGCACCUUCUCCCCUUUUCCCUUGUGGCGGUGGGCGCGGGGCUCCCUGCCGGGGCAGAGGCGCCGGGCGGACGCGAGGCCCGGCAGCAGCAUGCUGGCUGAUGCGGCGCGACGGCAGUGGAGCGGCUGAUCGAGGCCCGGCGGCUGCGUCCCGGAGCGGCGUCCGACAUCCAGGUCUGGAUCCGGGGGCUUCGGGUCUUAUGGUGCUUUCCCUCGACGGUUGCCUGUUGCUGGCUGGCCGGCGGUGGGGAAGACACACACCUGCGGGCCACGGCUGGUCAUGGCCGGCAGGGCGUGCGGGCCGAGGUGGCUAAGGCCGGAAGCUGCAGUCUCACCCCGGCAGUUGUUGCUGAUGGUGGCUGUGGUGCUCUGCCUGGUCGGGGGUGCAAGGCCUCAGCUUGGCAGGGAGGCGAUGCGGGCCUGUGGGGGCAUCGACGGCGCUGCGCUGGGUCCUGCUGAUGCCGCAAGGUGGUGGAGUUGCCCUUCUUGUCCUGCAUGUGGACCGACAGUACGCGGUGCUGGGCGGGUGCUCUUAAUGCUGGCCGCACGUAGAACGGGGGAGGUUUGGGGCCUGACACGGAUCGGAGCCUGUGCUUCGGGUAGAUGUGGUCGGGCGUGGCCUGGGAUUUGCCCCCGCGGGUGGUGGUUGUUCUCUCCUCACGGGUAACGUGGUCAGUGGUGGUGGCGGGGACAUCGUCGCUUUGGUAGGUGGCUCGUCACCGGUGAACAGAAAAAAGAAAAGAAAAUAAUAAUAAUAUGAAAACCGAAGAAAAAACCAGCCCGGUUGAAAAGGAAAACCAAAGUCUUCUUUUUUAGCGUUAUAUUUGACGCACUACAAAAGAUGGAAAACAAAAAACUUAGAACAUGAUCAACAGAGGUGUUUGAGUAGGCGAGAUGGCUCUGUCUAAGAGCACGUAGUUUCCUGACAUGCUUGAAAUGACCCCAUUUUUUUCAUGCCUUAUCCUAUAUCCUAUAUACUUAAGAAGUUUACCUCCACUACUUCAUUUAUCUCAACAUGCAGCAUAGCCAUGUCAUCAUCCAAUCACAUCCAGCCACGUCACACAGUCCCACUCAAGACCACGUCAGGUUUUUUUCCUUCGUUGGAAGUUUCCAAGCGGAACCCACAACAAAUUGACCAGUGUUUCAAGUAUUAAGUCAAAUGCCACGUCGUCCCUUCCAUUACCAGUGUCCGAACUGACAGAGGACCAGCCAUCUCCGAUCUAUAUCGUCUGUUCUCUCCUCUCCCCACAAAAGUGACUCUUCCUUGUCCAGCCUUUUCCUCAACUUUUAAUCUCCUCCAGUGACGCCUGAGCUCCUCUUAAUUGUAAUCCACUCAGAAGCAUCAUGGACAAAUUCACUACAAAGGAGGGAGACGGAUCUCACAUGUUGUUUGUCCACCCCAUCACUGACCUAAAGUCCGCCAAGAACAACACAAAACGGAGAUUCAAUACAAACGAAUCUCCCAUCUGGCAAGCGGCUCCUGCACGGCGUUCUUCAAGAUGCAGCACCGAGAGAAGGGCCGCAUCAGGGUGCUUCUCUCCCUGCCGCCAACGCUUUUCUCCCCCACUUCUUUCACCAGAUCGUGAGGAAAGAUGGGGGGCCGUGUCCGAGAGGAGGGCCGCAUCAGGAGGCUUCUCUCUCCUUCCCGACGCUUUUCUCCCCCACUUCUUGCACCAGAUCGUGAGGAAAGAUGAGCUCGAUUUGUUGUUGGUUCGCACUAUCACAACUAGGUCUCGCCUGGUCACGAGUAACUGAGUAAGUGCUUUUUUUGCAACUUUGCAUCCUCCAGGGCUAUUACCCAUGGUCGCUGGGAACGCCUAUUCUCUCACAUCAGCAAGACCUCACUGAUUCAGGAAGAAAAAUUGGGCAUAAGUUGCAACCUCCAUUCUCAGGAAGGAGCAUGAUCUCGAUUUUGUGGUGAUUAGUGGCGGUCUCUGUUCUCUUUUUUCAUAAUUACAUUUUAAUUUCAGGCCUUAGUUUGGCUCCAACGGAAAGUCAAAAACAGUUAUGUUUCAGUCUAAGGAUGUUUAUUUGUAUUGCUUUUGUCAUCAGGUGGAGCACAUAAGAUUAUUUUAUCAGAACUGUCCAGGAGCACCUGCAAUGGAAAGUCUUCCGGAAGCUUGGGGAUAUCUUUGCUCGCUUCUUCUGUAUGAUUAAUUUAGUGAACUACAGUGCACAUCAAUGUAUGGAAUACAUAUCAACAAUCAAUUAUAUAACCGUAUUUUUUGGUUUUCUAAUUGAUAAUUUUGUUACUUGCUAGAUUCCUGUUUUGUAUAUGUAUAUUCAGGGCCAUGAUGUGUUCUCUUUCUUUUGCAAUGCUAUACGUAGAAGCAUUUGUUUUCUCGGUUUUUUGUAGCAAUUAUUGUGAUCAAACAUCUCAUAUUUGUUCUCUUAUAUUUUGCUCAAAAUCAAUUGUGAACGGGCUCAAAAUCAUCUAUGAAUAUGCUAAUUCACAAUUAUCGUGUACCAUGCAGGAAGGAUCCAAUCCAGUUGGUAUAUGCAACUAAAUGAAUUUUUGUUACAUUUGAACACCCGAGAGAAUCUUUUAUGUUGGGUAAAAAUAUUUGUGCCUUUUUUUUUCAAAUCAAGUAUGAGGUUACUACCAACAUGUUCUGUCGAGUACCAAAAACAAUAGAUUUAUGGAUUCGUAUCGCAAUUAUUUUUACUAUGUAUGUAGAUAAAUUGGUAGUCCUCAAUUGAUAUUCAAUCAUGACUUCAUUUAACUUGCCCAUUUAUUUUGCAAGAAACAUCAUCAGACUAAGAAAAUUCAUUGUUUGUCGUUUGAAACUUUCAUAGCUCCCUAAAUUACAUUAGGGCGGCCGCGAAUAAUGUUAGUAUUUUCUUAGAUUCGAUUUAGAUUGUUACCUAAGGAAGGAAAUGCUGAAAUAAUUAGUAGAUUUUUCUUUAAUUAUGCUGAUGUCCUAAAACUUAAUCUUUUACAUCUAGCGACUAUAAUAACCCAAUUGUUUCUGAUUUUUCAUACCAUUCUAUAUAUUCUUUUUUCUGCAAGAUAUUAUUAUAGAUUUUCAUUUUAUGGUAAUUUCUCACUCCAUAAACCCCCCUUCCAUACAGUGCUACAAAUUCCCGCAGCAACGCGUGGGAUGUUCUCUAGUAUGACCAAUUCAAGGCACUAUGCCAAGUUGUUUUGGUUUUCAACAAGUUUUGCAUUUUUCAGAGUUUUCUCGGUCAAAAUCGCCUGAUAAAUGGGCAGACGUGUCACAACUUGCAUACGGUGUCAGAAAUCGUUCAAACCUGGCAUUGAUGACUAUGAUGGUCAUGCCCACCUGGUUGAAAAGGUCGGGGUCAUUUUAAGAAUGUCCAAAUGUAAACCAUGUUUAAUUGAGGAUGUUCGGGUUGGCUAGAAGACUCUACCUGAGAGUACAUUGUUUCUCAACAUCCUUCAAAUGGCCUAAUUUUCCCACCUCCUUCUAUGAUCAAAUCAAGCAUCAUGUCAAUUUGUUUAAGUUUUCGAUAAUUCUUGCAUUUUUUAGAGUUUUCUCGGUGAAAACUGGCUGAUAAAUGGCUGGACGUGACACAACAUGCAUAUGGUGUGGGAAAUUCAUUCAAACCUGACAUGGAUGCCUACCAUGGCCAUGCCCGCCUACUGGAGAAGGUAUAUCAUGUUCAACAGAGGGUGUUCGGGUAAGCGAGAAGGGUCCAGUUGAGGGCAUGUUUUUGCGGCAUCCAUUAACUCAACCGAAAUCUUUCCAUGAUCUUAUAUGACCGAUUAAACGCACCAUGCCAAGUUGUUUUGUUUUUCGACAAAUUCGAUCUUUUCUGUAGAUCUCUCGGUUAAAAAAGGCAGAUAAAUGACAUGACAUGUCGCAACUUGCAUAUUUUGUUGGAAAUCAUGCAAACCUGGCAUGGAUCCUUACCACGGGCAUGCCCCCUGCCUGCAAAAGUUGGGUCCAUUUAAAAAAAUUCAAAACUAGACCUUGUUCAAUGGAGGGUGCACCUGGAUGGGCAUGCCCAUGGUAGACAAUCAUGCUAGGUUUAACAAUUCACGACACCAUAUGCAAGUUGCGACAUGUUCGACCAUUUUAUCGGUCUUCUUUUACCAAGAAAACUCCAGAAAUGCAUAAUUUGUCGAAAACCAAAUCAACUUGGCAGGGUGCCUUGAAUUGCUCAUAAAAUGCCAUGAAAAAAAUUAGGUCCAUUUCUUCUUCUUUUUUGCUGGGGAAAUUGGGGCCAUUUCAAAGAUAUUAAAAAUAACGUGAUAUCAGACGAACCAUUCUGACCUUACCCAAUAAUCUCCGUUGAACAUGGUGUUUUUUAGACAUCCUUGAAAUGACCCCUACUAACAAAUACAAAGGGAUAAAAUUGAAAACAGUAAGUGUUUUCUAAAAGUAUUUAAUAAAAAAAUAUAGAAAAAAGAAUUUAGAAUCAUUAGUUUAAAAAGUUAGUUAAAACAUGUAUUUUGGUAUUGAAAAAAGAUAAAAGUGAAUUAACAAAAUAAGAAAUGAAAUGAAAAAAUAGAAAAGAAAAUAAAAAGCUCAGGCCUUGGCCUAACAAGGCAACGACAUUGCUCCCGUCGGGUGCGUGUGGGCCCAGUCCAACAGCUCACGGAUUUGAAAAAAGUUCAACAAGUUUUUACACAAUAUUCAUGGAUUUGAAAAAAGUUCAAUAAGGAAAUUUGCAAAAAGGUUUUCUCUAUUUUGGGAACCUCGGCUACCCAGCCAUUUUUUCGGUUUUGGGACGUUCUCGGAGGUCGUGAACCGUGUUUUUUCUUUUUCUUUUUUAUCUUCUCUCUUGUUCAUUUUUUGUCUUCUUUGACUUUUCGUUUAUUCUGUUUAUUAUUCUAUUUCUCAUAAAUUUAUUUUUUCAGAAUUCCAAUUUUGUUCAUAUUUUUCUGGAAUUCCAAAUUUGUUAUUGAUUUUCAAAAAAUGUUCAUGUUUAAAUUUUUGUUCUUUUAUAAAAAAAAUGCUCGUGUUUUGACAUUCUGAGCAAGUUUGAAAGGCAUGAACAUUCUUUUAAAAUUUAUGUACAUUCUUUAAAAAAACAAAUAUUAGUAUUUUAUGAACAAAACAGGAAAACCAGGAACCCUAAUGAAAACCGUGCAAAAAAACAUAAACCAAAGAGUGAAGGUGAUGUGUUUUUCUCUUGGCGUUAUGUCUCUCGAACAAGAAGAAGAAAACAAGGUUAGUAGGGAAAAUCAGAUAUGCUAACCCAUAUGGUUUGUGCGGUCACACGUAGUGCGCGAGGGCUGUAGUUCGAAUCCAGCCAAGGACACCUAUUUUUUGAUGACUAAAACUAAAAAACCUAAAUGGGCUGAGCCCAUGUGGGAGGGCUGUUCACCGGGUAUUAUAUGAACCUACGGUGUAUACGUAGAAAAAGAGGGUACAAAGAAAAGUCCAUACUACCCUUUGUACGUUUUAUGAGGGGGGUGUACCGAAGCAUUCCUCGCUUGCAUGGCCGUGCUUUAGAACGUAUAAGUAACAGAAAUGUUGACCUUGUCAAAUAACGCACGAGCCAUUUGUAAGUCGCCUGAAUUCAAAUACGCACAAGUCAAUUUUGGAGAGAACACAAGCACAACUUGAUGGCGAGCUGCGGCGUCCUAGGCAGAGGCGAGGAAGCGGGUUGACCGGUGUGGUUGGGGGUGCAGUGGCUCGCCGGGGAAAUUAGAUGGCUAAGGGAGCUUUAGAGGGACGAUCAUGGUUGGCGGCAACACGGCAGUGGGCAGCAGUGAGGAGUAGGUGGGACCACUGAUACCUCUCAAAAGCCUGUUUUGAGAUGUGUAGGAGCACCGCCGGCCGCAGGUGGGGGAGGCAGGCGUAUCGGCCAAUGGUCAUGGGCGGUUCGGAAGGAGGAAGAGCUUGAGGUAGAAGAUAUAAAACAGGUGUCCAAUGAAGAUCCAAAAUUUUGGCAACUUUCAAAUAGUCAUGCCCUUUUAAUAAAUAAUAUCAGAGAAAUCUCGUAAAACCAUAGGAACCUGAAUAUAUCCAAAAUGCUAGUGCAUUUUAAUAUACUCUUCCAUUUAUAGCAAGAAUAAAUGUGAGUAGUUACGAAAAUUUGACAGGCGGUCACUGCAAUAUAACUAGGUUUGAGCACUGGAACCCAAAUUACCAACCUCAGUGGGGUUGGGACUUGGGACUCGGGACCUGGCUAGCUAGCUCGCUCCCGCCUCGCGCCGUACGUAUCCGUUUGGUAUAUACCUGACUGAGCGUGACAUGGAUAUGCAUGAUCUUCUAGCACGUGCGUACGUGCUACAGUUCAUUGAUAGUUUGGACCCGGGUGCUCAGCUAGCUAGCAUUGAGCGCAUAUGCAUCGAUUUGAACACGUGGGAUGGCACGCAUCUGCCGUCCUCCUAGCAAUGAAUAAUGGAGAUAUGAAAGACCGGUGCCUCCAACAGCCAACAGAUGAAGAUGGUCCGCUGAGGAUAAGACGAUAGAUUCUUCCAUUAUUGCUCUCUUUUUAUUUUCUUCCUCCACACCAUUACUGCAUGCGUGGUAUAUCUCCAACAAAGACUACGAGACGCUCAUAUCCAAGAUUUUCCGACCUCCAAAAUAUAUAAAGACCACAGGACUAGGGAUCCGCCAUAGCCACAAUUAUCACAGAUCGAUUACCGCAACAACAACAAUAACAACAAAACAUCACACAUCAGUGACCACUUUUGCCAAACCACAUGCGAUAAGUUUCACCAAAAAAAUACACACUAUCAUGAGUUUUCCAAGUUGCCCGCCACAUUGCAAGAGCCCCUGGGCGCCAAAUGCAAAUCCGAAAGUGAAUCUUGUGAUCCAUCUUCUCUGGCGAAUAAUUACAACGUCAAAUCAAAAGCGCGUUACAUGUAUGCAUGCUCGAUCUACUACUAAUAUGUGUGCUACCGUUCAUUGAUACUUUGACCCAGCUAGCAUCCAGUGGCCGCAUGAAGAUGACGCUAUAACUUGCUGAGGAUAAGAUUAACGAAUGGAUAUGGUUUGCUGAGGAUAAGAUGAUACCCAUUGUUUCGUGAAGUGAAUGAUGGCAUCGCUUGUUUUUUUUUUCAAACAUGGGGAAGGGACUUGCAUGCCCAAAUCUGGCCUUAGAUUAACAAAGCAAGGAAUAGCCGGCGAACCUCCCUAGUCGUCCAAAUCGCACGCCCGAAACAUUUUAUAUUUCUGUAGUUGAUAUGUAGCUCAAGAGUGGAGUUCAAUACACAUGUUGAUGAAGAAUACAUGUAUGCACCAAGGUCAUUUCGAAUCUCCAAGGAGAACAAGAACGGAAGAGCAGGAGCGCGGAACUGCCUCUUACCUCUCCCCCGCCUCCACUAAGGCAAAUAAAAGAGAGCCAACAGGGAGCCUGCCCCUCCCGGUCUGUGGUCCCAUCGAUCUUAUUAUUAGAGAGGCUCUCACCAGAUCCUCUAUACACUACUACGAUCCACCUUAGAGAAUAUCAAGUAGAGGAGGAAGACGCGAAGCCAGCGCCACUCACAAGCGCCAGCACACCUCUUGACCUGUACAAAAGAAUGGAGGAGCACAUGAGAGCGCCAGCAACCGUAGUUGCACAACGCCAUGAAUCUGGCAGGAAAGCGACGGCAUGGGAACCGCCAUCACUGAAGAUACUUCCUUCGCCUCAUUGCCCUCAAUACAAACUUGAGGGCAAAUAAAAAGGAUCGGAGUAGUUAUCGAAUUUGGAUCCAAACGCCUCAUUAUUCAUUGGGGAGAAGCAAAGAAACAAGAAACCUACCACUACUCACCAAAGAUCCGCCCUUCCACCACCAUUUUGGUCGGCAACACCGAAGAGGGGAAGGAGAGCGGCCUGAAUCUACUGCACAAGGGCCGACCUCAGUCCAAGUUAAUCUAGGUGGAAGGGGGAGUGGAAGAGAGGGGUGGGGUUAUCUGAACGACCAAUGCUACACAGAUGAAUGAUAUGGUACAGGAUUUACGGAGUGGCUUACGUAGGAUUCUGAGGUUGGAGAAUUAGGUGAAGGGCCCCAACCAGUUCAAUUCGGGUGGGGGGGGGGGGGGGUAGUAAGGAAUGUCUCAUAACAAUAGUUUUGCUACUUCUCAGCUACCUGAAUUUUUUUUGUUGCCUAAGUCAGUUUUUCCUUCAUCCCAAGUGCAUGAGAUGUGCACGCCAGACCUCGCCGAAGAAGAAGAAGCCCCACUAUNNNNNNNNNNNNNNNNNNNNNNNNNNNNNNNNNNNNNNNNNNNNNNNNNNNNNNNNNNNNNNNNNNNNNNNNNNNNNNNNNNNNNNNNNNNNNNNNNNNNNNNNNNNNNNNNNNNNNNNNNNNNNNNNNNNNNNNNNNNNNNNNNNNNNNNNNNNNNNNNNNNNNNNNNNNNNNNNNNNNNNNNNNNNNNNNNNNNNNNNNNNNNNNNNNNNNNNNNNNNNNNNNNNNNNNNNNNNNNNNNNNNNNNNNNNNNNNNNNNNNNNNNNNNNNNNNNNNNNNNNNNNNNNNNNNNNNNNNNNNNNNNNNNNNNNNNNNNNNNNNNNNNNNNNNNNNNNNNNNNNNNNNNNNNNNNNNNNNNNNNNNNNNNNNNNNNNNNNNNNNNNNNNNNNNNNNNNNNNNNNNNNNNNNNNNNNNNNNNNNNNNNNNNNNNNNNNNNNNNNNNNNNNNNNNNNNNNNNNNNNNNNNNNNNNNNNNNNNNAGGGAGUGAGGGGGAAGGAGAAGGAGGCAAGAGGUUAGUCAUGGUUUGGUCGGCGGCUGCGUGAGGAAGAAGAAGGUGCAGGUUAAAGAUAAACAAUGCUUGAUCUAUUCUUAGCUCUUGGAUGAAGAUCUAAUGGACUUUGAUGAAAAUGAAGUGACAGAUGAUACAUUUUUUCAGGUACCUCUUUUUUGUUAGGGAUGUUUUUUCAGGUACCUGAUAAGUGCCGGGGAGAGUACGUACUCCCGUUGUCUCUUUUUUUUUGCAGGGAGUACUCCCGUUGUCUCGCCGUGUUACACGAUAUAUGCACGGUAGCAUGCAUGCACAAGACUACGGUAGGGUCGUCCCCUAGUUGUUGUUUUUUUGUCCAAAACGAAAGGUGCAUGCUCUCUGAUUGAUCGAUCCAUCUACUAUGAAUGCUCAUAUACAGACACAAGCGCUCAUAUACAGGCGCAUACACUCACCCGUAUGAACGCACACAUGCACACCUUAUCCCUAUGAGCAUCUCUGCAAGACUGAGCCGGCAUAUCAUCUUGAGAUUUACGAAGCCAUCGUAGGCGCCUCUUCGUCGACGGGAACGUCUCCUCCCACUGAAAGCGCAUCGCCGAAAAUCCAGAAAUAAUGCGAGCACCAGGAUUUGAACCCUGGUGGGAUGGGGAUAUCACUGUCCACCUAACCAUCUCAACCACAGGUUGGUUCGCCUGUGAGCGCAUAUAUAAUGGAGAUAUUUUGUUGAUUUUGUUGAUAUGUUGCACCGAUUUGAACACGUGGGGUGGCACGCAUCGACCGACCUCCACGCAACGAAUAAUGGAGAUAUGAAAGGCCAGUGCCUCCAAGAGCCAACAGGUGAAGAUGGUCCGCUGAGGAUAAGAUGAUAGAAUCUUCCUCCAUUGUUGCUCUUUUUUUUUUGUUCUUCCUCUACACCAUUACUGCAUGUAUGUUCCAUAGAAUGCGAUGCUCUGUCCAAGAUUUUCCAACCUCCAAAAUAUAAAAAGACCACAAUGCUAGGGAUCUGCCAUAGCCACAAAUAUCACAAACCGAUCCCGCAACAACAACAACAACAACAAAAACAACAACAGCAACAACAACAACAACAAUAACAACAACAACAAUAACAACAACAGCAACAAAACAUCACACAUUGAUGACCACUUUUGCCAAAGAUGUGGGAUAAGUUUCACCUAAAAACACACUCAGAUUAUGAGUUAUCCAUGUUGCCCACGCCAGCGCAUUGCAGCAGCCCUUGCCACAUGCAAAUCCGAGAGUGAAUCGUGUGUUCGAUCUCCUCGGACGAAUUACAACGUCAAAUAAAAAGUGUGUAACACGUAUGCAUGCUUGAUCUGCUAGUAACGUGGUGCUACCAUUUAUUGAUACUUUGCCACAGCUAGCAUGCAGUGACCGCAUGAAUGUGAUGUUGUAGCUGGCUAGGGUCUUCUUCGAUCUACAUAGAUUUUCAAACAUCGAAAAUGGAUAUUGAUCUAUUCAUCUUCAAUAAUAGUAGUACAAUGUAUAGUAGAAAAAAUUAAAAAUUACAUUCCAUCCGCAGACCAUGUAAUGACGACUACAAGCUCUGAGGCGAGCUGAAGGCGCGCUGCUGUCAUCGCCCCUCCCUCGCCAGAGCCGGGCAAACAUUAUUGUAGUAGAUAGUCGGGAAGUUGUCAUGCUAAGGCCACAUAGAACUAACGCACCAGAACAGCAACCGCCACCGAUGAAGAGUGUAUAUCUGAAAUAUCCAACCUCAAGACACAAGAACAUAGACGAACGAUGAACAUAUCCGAGAAAAUCCAGCAAAGACAGAUCCGCCGGAAACACACCUCCACACGCCCACCGAUGAUGCUAGACGUAUCAACGGAAUAGGGAGUAGGUGGGGAGACCUUAUUCCAUCUUCAGGGAGCCGCCGCCAUCUCGCCUUCCUGAGCAGGACAAAAACCCUAACAAAAAUCAAAAAAAGGAUCUAAAAAUGGAGCCCUCCCACCGGCAAUGGUCGGGAUCCACUCCGCCCCCUUGGCCCUAAGGCCACCGGUGACGGGGUGGACCGGCGACGGCACCGACAGGAGGCAGAGGAACCCUAGAUUUUUGGGAGGUGGCGGCUAGCUAGGUCGUCUCAUCUGGCCUCUGAUGGAUGCAACUGCAACAUCGCCCCUAGGAUUGACAGAAAACGGAUAUGCUCUGCUCCGAUACCCACUGGUUUGUGAAGUGGAAGAUGGCAUUGCUCGGUUUUUCAACUGGCGGAAGGGACUCCUAGGAUCCCAAAUCUGGUGUUAGAUUAGCAAAAGUGUUACAGCUCUACACAAAGGACCCUGACAAAAUAAAAAUUACACAUUGGUCCUCCAUUCUACAAUUAUAAGCCCUCAAGAAAAAGGAAAAACACAAUUGGGUUUCGAUCACCAUGGCGACCUCACUGGAGAUGCAAAAGCCACCAUCUCCGGAAGCAACAUUGCCAGCUCUGGGCAACAAGAAUAUGGCCUCCACACUAGAGGUUGAAGAAGGGGUCAUCAAAAAAAGCGAGCAAAGCAAGGAACAACUCGUGAACAACCCUAGCCGCUUAAAUCGCACGCUCUAAACAUUUCCAUGGUUGAUCUGCGGCUCCAGCGCGAAGUUUGAUGCAAAGGUUGAUGAAGAAUACACCGAUGCAGCGAGGCCAAUGGGAAUCCCCACGGAUCCAAAGCUCGGAAGAGCGGGAGCGUAGAUUUACCGCUUUUCCUGCCGCGCCUCCACGAAGGUAAAUAAGAGAGAGCCAACAGGGAGCUUGCUCCUCCCAAUUCCAGGUCCCAUCAAUAUUAUUAUUAGAGAGGCUCUCACCAAAUCCUCCAUACACCGCUACCAUCCACUUCAGAGAAUAUAAAGUAGAGAAGAAAGACACCGAGCCGAUGCCGAUGGUAGAGCCAGCAUCCGAAGCUAUACAACGCCAUGAUCUGGCAGGUAUGCGACGGCAUGGGAGCCGGCAUCACUCAAGGUACUUCCUUCGCCUCGUAGACCUUAACAGGAACUCGAGGGUAAAGAAAAGGACUGGAGUAGUCGUCGAAUCUGGAUCCAAACGCCUCAUUAUUUGUCAGGAGAAGCAAAGAAAAAGAAACCUACCACUACGCACGAACAAGCCCCCCUUCCACCCCCAUUCCGGUUGUCAACAUAGGUGGAGAAUAGGGGAAGGAGGGUGUUCUGAAUCUACGACACAAGGGCCGACCUCAGUCCAUGUCAAUCUAGGUGGAAGGGGAAGUGGAAGAGAGGGGUGGGGGUUAUCCGAAUGAGCAAUCCUACACAUAUGAAUGAUAUGGUACAUGAUUAACGAGGUGGCUUGUGUGGGACUUUAUGGUUGCAGAAAUUAGAGGAAGGGCCCCACCCGGAAUGGGGGGGGGGUAUUAAGGAAUGUCCGGUGAUAACGGUUUUUCUAUUUCUAAGGUACCGUUUUUGUUGCGUUGGUCACUUUUUCCUUCUCCGUUCCUUCUUCCCGAGUGCAUAAGAUGUGGAGGCCGGACCCCAUUAUCUAUUUUAGGGCGCAAGCCACAACCCCAUUAUCUAUCUUAGGGUGAAGCCACAACCCCAUUAUUUAUCUUAGGGGUGGGGGUGCAGGAGGUCAUCAGAGUUGUUCACUGGUGUGACAGGGAUUAUAGGGAUGGCUGGGGCGGUGGUCUGCACGGCAGUGCGGGGAGGGUGGGGCGGUGAGGCGGAGGUAGGCGGUUAGGCUAGGGUUAGCCGGUGGCUGCGUGAGAGGAAGAAGGUGGAGGUUUAAGAUGAAUAGUGGCCGAUCUAUUUUGAGCCGUUGGAUGAAGAUCGAAUGGCUUUUGAUGAAAGUGAGUGAUGAUACAUGUUUUUUCAGAUACCUGAAAAAUAAACGAUCCACCGUAAUAAUUUUGUAGAUUGACUGUAGGUGUAACAUUUUUUGUAUCUUUUUUCUUUAUGGUAGCAUUUUUUUUAUUUUUUAUUUUGCAAAAAGGGUAGCAUCUUCUUAUCUCAACGACGGCAUUGUUGGAAGGAUCACUCGAUCAAGAGCAUUGCCAUUUUCUUAUAAAUAGAGGCCCAACUGAGCAGAAAGGGUAUGCAAAUCUAGCUAGCCAAGAGCAACACAUAGCCAUAGUGCGACUGCAUACGAGUACGUAGGUAGAGAAGGCGAGAAUGGACAACACACUACCAGUAACGGCGCCCACCGCGCACGCGCCCAUGCCGUCGCCGGCGCCGAAGCUUGGAGGUGCAAACAUCGCCAGCCGGUGGCGCGAGCUCCAGGGCUCGGACUCGUGGGUUGGGCUCCUGGACCCGCUGGACUACGACCUCCGACAAUCCAUCAUAUCUUACGGCGAGCUCGCAUCGGCCGCCCACGACGUGUUCAACCUUGAGAAGCGGUCACCUCACGCCGGCUUCUGCUUGUACAGCCGCGACCACCUUCUCGCCGCCUCCACCGUGACCCACCCUGAGUACUACAAGGUCACCAAGUUCCUCUACGCGACCUGCGGGGGAUCAACGGCAUCGAGGUUGGCCACAUCCGUGCCAACGGUGACCAACGCGCUGUUCGUGCAACCGCUGGGAAAGGCCGAGGGGACUCCGACGUCCAACUGGAUGGGUUACGUGGCGGUGGCGACGAACGAGGGAGUUACAGCACUGGGGAGGCGUGACAUCGUCGUGGUGUGGCGCGGCACCGAGAACGAGUUGGAGUGGGAGGAAGACAAGCACUUCCUUCAGGUGUCUGCCGCGCCGGUGUUGGGCCGCUAUGCUGACGAAGAUUACAAGAACGCCAAGGUGCACCGUGGCUUCCUAUCCGUGUACACGUCCAGUGACAACAACUCCAUGUACAACAAGACCAGCGCCAGAGAGCAGGUGAGCCUUGCAUACUUCAUAUAUAUAUAUUGUCCUGUUCAAUCUUAGGCUUAAUAACAUACCAGCAGCCGGAAUUGUUCAAGGUGAAAUUUGUCUUCACUAAAGGUGUACGCACACAUGCAGGUUCUCGAGGAGGUAGGGAGGCUAAUGGAGGAGUACAAGGACGAGGUGACCAGCAUCACCGUCACCGGCCAUAGCCUUGGAGCGUCACUCGCCACCCUCACCGCCAUCGACCUGGUGGCCAACGACGUCAACGUGCCCCCUAACUCGAAGCAACCGCCGUGCCCCGUGACAGCGAUACUGCUGGCGUGCCCGCGAGUCGGGAACCCCACGUUCAAGUCCGCCUUCGACUCAUUCCACCUCCUGCGGGCACUCCACGUGGCGAACGCCAAAGACCUCGUGCCACAGAACCCUCCCUCUGUGUUGUUAAUGUGGUACGUGGACUGCGCGACAGCAACGAUCGUAAUUGACACGGACCGGUCACCCUACGUGUUUCACAAAAUAUCGACCCACCACGUCCUCGAGUUGUACCUGCACGGUGUCGCAGGGGAUCAUGGCGACAAGGCGGACUUCAAACUAGUGGUUCCCCGCGACGUGGCGCUGGUGAACAAGACUAUCGACCUGCUGACAGACGAAUACCCAGUGCCGGGGAGCUGGUGGGUCAUUAAAAACAAAUGCAUGGUCAAGGGCACCGAUGGCCAGUGGAAACUCGAUGACUUCGAAGAAGCAUAGUUAAGUGGUUAAGACGGUAUACAACAUUGUUGCCUAUGGAUUCGGCAUGUACUAUAUAUGCUCUUGUGCUUGCUUGUGUGUUUGCAUUUCAAUCAUGUUGUCGGGCGUGAAUAUUUGUAGCAGAUGACGGCCUGGCCGAUCAUUCAGUUAUUGUCCUUCUAUUUCAUGCCUCCUACAAGUCUCGCUAUAUCAUGUACUUAUGCAUUGCUUCAUUGCUUUUAAAAAUGUCAUAUCCCGUGUCUAAAAGAGCUUCUUCUUUUUUAAUCUAAAGUGGCAUGUUCUUGGUGUUAAUGACAUGUACUUAGCCGAUUCAUGGUGCGUGAAUUGAGUUGGACGAACACAGGUAGUCCCGAGAAAAGAAAGAAAGCUGGUUCGGGAUCAAUCAACCAAAGCAAAAAGACUAAAUAAGACAGCUCGGUUAAAAUAGAUUUUGAUUUCUAUAUAACUUAAUGACUUUGGUCGUCAAGAGUCAUGGUCUCAUGGAAGCCAUACGUACUACAUUGAGAGGUUGGGUAAAUGAUUAACAGAAAUAGGGUGAACUAAAAUCGCAUAUCAUUGAGAUUCAAAAAGCAUCUCACUGGUGUUAGGAUAUUCUAGCCACAUCAUAUGUCCAUAUAAAACAGUAUUUCAGACCCGCAAAAAGAACAGUAUUUCAGAAAUCGCAAUAUGCAAAAAAAAAAAAACUCACACCACCACAAUACAUGUCGUCUCUGUGGGUAAAUUAAUUGAAGCUGCCCUAUAUGAAAACUGUCCCAACCAUCAGAUGCCAGGUGUCAGGCUUCUCCUUGGCAUCGAGUGAAAUCCAUUAUAUGCUAGAAAUUGGCCGUGUUUGCUGAAUCAAUCAAAGGGCAUGUACGCGUUUAUUAUCUAGGAGUAUCUUAGAACCUAACUUGCUCCUUAAUUCGCUUAAAAUAGAUUUUUGAUCUCCAUAUAACUUAAUGACUUUGGUCGUCAGAUUUUUGAUCUCUAUAUAACUUAAUGACACAGGUAGUCCCAAGAAAUGAGCUUGAUUCGAUUCUUACUCCAGCAACUCACACCCCCUCCCUCCCCCUCCCCCCCCGGGCGACCCGGGCGGCAGCGCGAGCUCCACUCCCAGUCCUCCUCUCCCCCCCUGGGGCCGCCGCCAGGGCAAAGCCCCACAAGGUGACUGGCGGCGGGGCACCUUCUCCCCUUUUCCCUUGUGGCGGUGGGCGCGGGGCUCCCUGCCGGGGCAGAGGCGCCGGGCGGACGCGAGGCCCCGCAGCAGCGUGCUGGCUGAUGCGGCGCGACGGCAGUGGAGCGGCUGAUCGAGGCCCGGCGGCUGCGUCCCGGAGCGGCGUCCGACAUCCAGGUCUGGAUCCGGGGGCUUCGGGUCUUAUGGUGGUUUCCCUCGUCGGUUGCCUGUUGCUGGCUGGCCGGCGGUGGGGAAGACACACACCUGCGGGCCACGGCUGGUCAUGGCCGGCAGGGCGUGCGGGCCGAGGUGGCUAAGGCCGGAAGCUGCGGUCUCACCCCGGCAGUUCUUGCUGAUGGUGGCUGUGGUGCUCUGCCUGGUCGGGGGUGCAAGGCCUCAGCUUGGCAGGGAGGCGAUGCGGGCCUGUGGGGGCGUCGACGGCGCUGCGCUGGGUUCUGCUGAUGCCGCAAGGUGGUGGAGUUGCCCUUCUUCUCCUGCAUGUGGACCGACAGUACGCGGGGCUGGGCGGGUGCCCUUAAUGCUGGCCGCACGUAGAACGGGGGAGGUUUGGGGCCUGACACGGAUCGGAGCCUGUGCUUCGGGUAGAUGUGGUCGGGCGUGGCCUGGGAUUUGCCCCCGCGGGUGGUGGUUGUUCUCUCCUCACGGGUAACGUGGUCAGUGGUGGUGGCGGGGACAUCGUCGCUUUGGUAGGUGGCUCGUCACCGGUGAACAGAAAAAAGAAAAGAAAAAAAUAAUAAUAUAAAAACCGAAGAAAAAACCAGCCCGGUUGAAAAGGAAAACCAAAGUCUUCUUUUUUAGCGUUAUAUUUGACGCACUACAAAAGAUGGAAAACGAAAAACUUAGAACAUGAUCAACAGAGGUGUUUGAGUAGGCGAGAUGGCUCUGUCUAAGAGCACGUAGUUUCCUGACAUGCUUGAAAUGGCCCCAUUUUUUUCAUGCCUUAUCCUAUAUCCUAUAUACUUAAGAAGUUUACCUCCACUACUUCAUUUAUCUCAACAUGCAGCAUAGCCAUGUCAUCAUCCAAUCACAUCCAGCCACGUCACACAGUCCCACUCAAGACCACGUCAGGUUUUUUUUUCUUCGUUGGAAGUUUCCAAGCGGAACCCACAACAAAUUGACCAACGUUUCAAGUAUUAAGUCAAAUGCCACGUCGUCCCUUCCAUUACCAGUGUCCAAACUGACAGAGGACCAGCCAUCUCCGAUCUAUAUCGUCUGUUCUCUCCUCUCCCCACAAAAGUGACUCUUCCUUCUCCAGCCUUUUCCUCAACUUUUAAUCUCCUCCAGUGACGCCUGAGCUCCUCUUAAUUGUAAUCCACUCAGAAGCAUCAUGGACAAAUUCACUACAAAGGAGGGAGACGGAUCUCACAUGUUGUUUGUCCACCCCAUCACUGACCUAAAGUCCGCCAAGAACAACACAAAACGGAGAUUCAAUACAAACGAAUCUCCCAUCUGGCAAGCGGCUCCUGCACGGCGUUCUUCAAGAUGCAGCACCGAGAGAAGGGCCGCAUCAGGGUGCUUCUCUCCCUGCCGCCAACGCUUUUCUCCCCCACUUCUUUCACCAGAUCGUGAGGAAAGAUGGGGGGCCGUGUCCGAGAGGAGGGCCGCAUCAGGAGGCUUCUCUCUCCUUCCCGACGCUUUUCUCCCCCACUUCUUGCACCAGAUCGUGAGGAAAGAUGAGCUCGAUUUGUUGUUGGUUCGUACUAUCACAACUAGGUCUCGCCUGGUCACGAGUAACUGAGUAAGUGCUUUUUUUGCAACUUUGCAUCUUCCAGGGCUAUUACCCAUGGUCGCUGGGAACGCCUAUUCUCUCACAUCAGCAAGACCUCGCUGAUUCAGGAAGAAAAAUUGGGCAUAAGUUGCAACCUCCGUUCUCAGGAAGGAGCAUGAUCUCGAUUUUGUGGUGAUUAGUGGCGGUCUCUGUUCUCUUUUUUCAUAAUUACAUUUUAAUUUCAGGCCUUAGUUUGGCUCCAACGGAAAGUCAAAAACAGUUAUGUUUCAGUCUAAGGAUGUUUAUUUGUAUUGCUUUUGUCAUCAGGUGGAGCACAUAAGAUUAUUUUAUCAGAACUGUCCAGGAGCACCUGCAAUGGAAAGUCUUCCGAAAGCUUGGGGAUAUCUUUGCUCGCUUCUUCUGUAUGAUUAAUUUAGUGAACUACAGUGCACAUCAAUGUAUGGAAUACAUAUCAACAAUCAAUUAUAUAACCGUAUUUUUUGGUUUUCUAAUUGAUAAUUUUGUUACUUGCUAGAUUCCUGUUUUGUUUAUGUAUAUUCAGGGCCAUGAUGUGUUCUCUUUCUUUUGCAAUGCUACACGUAGAAGCAUUUGUUUUCUCAGUUUUUUGUAGCAAUUAUUGUGAUCAAACAUCUCAUAUUUGUUCUCUUAUAUUUUGCUCAAAAUCAAUUGUGAACGGGCUCAAAAUCAUCUAUGAAUAUGCUAAUUCACAAUUAUCGUGUACCAUGCAGGAAGGAUCCAAUCCAGUUGGUAUAUGCAACUAAAUGAAUUUUUGUUACAUUUGAACACCCGAGAGAAUCUUUUAUGUUGGGUAAAAAUAUUUGUGCCUUUUUUUUUCAAAUCAAGUAUCAGGUUACUACCAACAUGUUCUGUCGAGUACCAAAAACAAUAGAUUUAUGGAUUCGUAUCGCAAUUAUUUUUACUAUGUAUGUAGAUAAAUUGGUAGUCCUCAAUUGAUAUUCAAUCAUGACUUCAUUUAACUUGCCCAUUUAUUUUGCAAGAAACAUCAUCAGACUAAGAAAAUUCAUUGUUUGUCGUUUCAAACUUUCAUAGCUCCCUAAAUUACAUUAGGGCGGCCGCCAAUAACGUUAGUAUUUUCUUAGAUUCGAUUUAGAUUGUUACCUAAGGAAGGAAAUGCUGAAAUAAUUAGUAGAUUUUUCUUUAAUUAUGCUGAUGUCCUAAAACUUAAUCUUUUACAUCUAGCGACUAUAAUAACCCAAUUGUUUCUGAUUUUUCAUACCAUUCUAUAUAUUCUUUUUUCUGCAAGAUAUUAUUAUAUAUUUUCAUUUUAUGGUAAUUUCUCACUCCAUAAACCCCCCUUCCAUACGGUGCUACAAAUUCCCGCAGCAACGCGUGGGAUGUUCUCUAGUAUGACCAAUUCAAGGCACUAUGCCAAGUUGUUUUGGUUUUCAACAAGUUUUGCAUUUUUCAGAGUUUUCUCGGUCAAAAUCGCCUGAUAAAUGGGCAGACGUGUCACAACUUGCAUACGGUGUCAGAAAUCGUUCAAACCUGGCAUGGAUGACUAUGAUGGUCAUGCCCACCUGGUUGAAAAGGUCGGGGUCAUUUUAAGAAUGUCCAAAUGUAAACCAUGUUUAAUUGAGGAUGUUCGGGUUGGCUAGAAGACUCUACCUGAGGGUACAUUGUUUCUCAACAUCCUUUAAAUGGCCUAAUUUUCCCACCUCCUUCUAUGAUCAAAUCAAGCACCAUGUCAAUUUGUUUAAGUUUUCGAUAAUUCUUGCAUUUUUUAGAGUUUUCUCGGUGAAAACUGGCUGAUAAAUGGCUGGACGUGACACAACAUGCAUAUGGUGUGGGAAAUUCAUUCAAACCUGACAUGGAUGCCUACCAUGGCCAUGCCCGCCUACUGGAGAAGGUAUAUCAUGUUCAACAGAGGGUGUUUGGGUAAGCGAGAAGGGUCCAGUUGAGGGCAUGUUUUUGCGGCAUCCAUUAACUCAAUCGAAAUCUUUCCAUGAUCUUAUAUGACCGAUUAAACGCACCAUGCCAAGUUUUUCUGUUUUUCGACAAAUUCGAUCUUUUCUGUAGAUCUCUCGGUUAAAAAAGGUAGAUAAAUGACAUGACAUGUCGCAACUUGCAUAUUUUGUUGGAAAUCAUUCAAACCUGGCAUGGAUCCUUACCACGGGCAUGCCCCCUGCCUGCAAAAGUUGGGUCCAUUUAAAAAAAUUCAAAACUAGACCUUGUUCAAUGGAGGGUGCACCUGGAUGGGCAUGCCCAUGGUAGACAAUCAUGCUAGGUUUAACAAUUCACGACACCAUAUGCAAGUUGCGACAUGUUCGACCAUUUUAUCGGUCUUCUUUUACCAAGAAAACUCCAGAAAUGCAUAAUUUGUCGAAAACCAAAUCAACUUGGCAGGGUGCCUUGAAUUGCUCAUAAAAUGCCAUGAAAAAAAUUAGGUCCAUUUCUUCUUCUUUUUUGCUGGGGAAAUUGGGGCCAUUUCAAAGAUAUUAAAAAUAACGUGAUAUCAGACGAACCAUUCUGACCUUACCCAAUAAUCUCCGUUGAACAUGGUGUUUUUUAGACAUCCUUGAAAUGACCCCUACUAACAAAUACAAAGGGAUAAAAUUGAAAACAGUAAGUGUUUUCUAAAAGUAUUUAAUAAAAAAAUAUAGAAAAAAGAAUUUAGAAUCAUUAGUUUAAAAAGUUAGUUAAAACAUGUAUUUUGGUAUUGAAAAAAGAUAAAAGUGAAUUAACAAAAUAAGAAAUGAAAUGAAAAAAUAGAAAAGAAAAUAAAAAGCUUAGGCCUUGGCCUAACAAGGCAACGACAUUGCUCCCGUCGGGUGCGUGUGGGCCCAGUCCAACAGCUCACGGAUUUGAAAAAAGUUCAACAAGUUUUUACACAAUAUUCAUGGAUUUGAAAAAAGUUCAAUAAGGAAAUUUGCAAAAAGGUUUUCUCUAUUUUGGGAACCUCGGCUACCCAGCCAUUUUUUCGGUUUUGGGACGUUCUCGGAGGUCGUGAACCGUGUUUUUUCUUUUUCAUUUUUAUCUUCUCUCUUGUUCAUUUUUUGUCUUCUUUGACUUUUCGUUUAUUCUGUUUAUUAUUCUAUUUCUCAUAAAUUUAUUUUUUCAGAAUUCCAAUUUUGUUCAUAUUUUUCUGGAAUUCCAAAUUUGUUACUGAUUUUCAGAAAAUGUUCAUGUUUAAAAUUUUGUUCUUUUAUAAAAAAAAAAUGCUCGUGUUUUGACAUUCUGAGCAAGUUUGAAAGGCAUGAACAUUCUUUUAAAAUUUAUGUACAUUCUUUAAAAAACAAAUGUUAGUAUUUUAUGAACAAAACAGGAAAACCAGGAACCCUAAUGAAAACCGUGCAAAAAAACAUAAACCAAAGAGUGAAGGUGAUGUGUUUUUCUCUUGGCGUUAUGUCUCUCGAACAAGAAGAAGAAAACAAGGUUAGUAGGGAAAAUCAGAUAUGCUAACCCAUAUGGUUUGUGCGGUCACACGUAGUGCGCGAGGGCUGUAGUUCGAAUCCAGCCAACGACACCUAUUUUUUGAUGACUAAAACUAAAAAACCUAAAUGGGCUGAGCCCAUGUGGGAGGGCUGUUCACCGGGUAUUAUAUGAACCUACGGUGUAUACGUAGAAAAAGAGGGUACAAUUUGUGAAAAGUCCAUACUACCCUUUAUACGUUUUGUGAGGGGGGUGUACCGAAGCAUUCCUCGCUUGCUUGGCCGUGCUUUAGAACGUAUAAGUAACAGAAAUGUUGACCUUGUCAAAUAACGCACGAGCCAUUUGUAAGUCGCCUGAAUUCAAAUACGCACAAGUCAAUUUUGGAGAGAACACAAGCACAACUUGAUGGCGAGCUGCGGCGUCCUAGGCAGAGGCGAGGAAGCGGGUUGACCGGUGUGGUUGGGGGUGCAGUGGCUCACCGGGGAAAUUAGAUGGCUAAGGGAGCUUUAGAGGGACGAUCAUGGUUGGCGGCAACACGGCAGUGGGCAGCAGUGAGGAGUAGGUGGGACCACUGAUACCUCUCAAAAGCCUGUUUUGAGAUGUGUAGGAGCGCCGCCGGCCGCAGGUGGGGGAGGCAGGCGUAUCGGCCAAUGGUCAUGGGCGGUUCGGAAGGAGGAAGAGCUUGAGGUAGAAGAUAUAAAACAGGUGUCCAAUGAAGAUCCAAAAUUUUGGCAACUUUCAAAUAGUCAUGCCCUUUUAAUAAAUAAUAUCAGAGAAAUCUCGUAAAACCAUAGGAACCUGAAUAUAUCCAAAAUGCUAGUGCAUUUUAAUAUACUCUUCCAUUUAUAGCAAGAAUAAAUGUGAGUAGUUACGAAAAUUUGACAGGCGGUCACUGCAAUAUAACUAGGUUUGAGCACUGGAACCCAAAUUACCAACCUCAGUGGGGUUGGGACUUGGGACUUGGGACCUGGCUAGCUAGCUCGCUCCCGCCUCGCGCCGUACGUAUCCGUUUGGUAUAUACCUGACUGAGCGUGACAUGGAUAUGCAUGAUCUUCUAGCACGUGCGUACGUGCUACAGUUCAUUGAUAGUUUGGACCCGGGUGCUCAGCUAGCUAGCAUUGAGCGCAUAUGCAUCGAUUUGAACACGUGGGAUGGCACGCAUCUGCCGUCCUCCUAGCAAUGAAUAAUGGAGAUAUGAAAGACCGGUGCCUCCAACAGCCAACAGAUGAAGAUGGUCCGCUGAGGAUAAGACGAUAGAUUCUUCCAUUAUUGCUCUCUUUUUAUUUUCUUCCUCCACACCAUUACUGCAUGCGUGGUAUAUCUCCAACAAAGACUACGAGACGCUCAUAUCCAAGAUUUUCCGACCUCCAAAAUAUAUAAAGACCACAGGACUAGGGAUCCACCAUAGCCACAAUUAUCACAGAUCGAUUACCGCAACAACAACAAUAACAACAAAACAUCACACAUCAGUGACCACUUUUGCAAAACCACAUGCGAUAAGUUUCACCAAAAAAAUACACACUAUCAUGAGUUUUCCAAGUUGCCCGCCACAUUGCAAGAGCCCCUGGGCGCCAAAUGCAAAUCCGAAAGUGAAUCUUGUGAUCCAUCUUCUCUGGCGAAUAAUUACAACGUCAAAUCAAAAGCGCGUUACAUGUAUGCAUGCUCGAUCUACUACUAAUAUGUGUGCUACCGUUCAUUGAUACUUUGACCCAGCUAGCAUCCAGUGGCCGCAUGAAGGUGACGCUAUAACUUGCUGAGGAUAAGAUUAACGAAUGGAUAUGGUUUGCUGAGGAUAAGAUGAUACCCAUUGUUUCGUGAAGUGAAUGAUGGCAUCGCUUGUUUUUUUUUCAAACAUGGGGAAGGGACUUGCAUGCCCAAAUCUGGCCUUAGAUUAACAAAGCAAGGAAUAGCCGGCGAACCUCCCUAGUCGUCCAAAUCGCACACCCGAAACAUUUUAUAUUUCUGUAGUUGAUAUGUAGCUCAAGAGUGGAGUUCAAUACACAUGUUGAUGAAGAAUACAUGUAUGCACCAAGGUCAUUUGGAAUCUCCAAGGAGAACAAGAACGGAAGAGCAGGAGCGCGGAACUGCCUCUUACCUCUCCCCCGCCUCCACUAAGGCAAAUAAAAGAGAGCCAACAGGGAGCCUGCCCCUCCCGGUCUGUGGUCCCAUCGAUCUUAUUAUUAGAGAGGUUCUCACCAGAUCCUCUAUACACCGCUACGAUCCACCUUAGAGAAUAUCAAGUAGAGGAGGAAGACGCGAAGCCAGCGCCACUCACAAGCGCCAGCACACCUCUUGACCUGUACAAAAGAAUGGAGGAGCACAUGAGAGCGCCAGCAACCGUAGUUGCACAACGCCAUGAAUCUGGCAGGAACGCGACGGCAUGGGAACCGCCAUCACUGAAGAUACUUCCUUCGCCUCAUUGCCCUCAAUACAAACUUGAGGGCAAAUAAAAAGGAUCGGAGUAGUUAUCGAAUUUGGAUCCAAACGCCUCAUUAUUCAUCGGGGAGAAGCAAAGAAACAAGAAACCUACCACUACUCACCAAAGAUCCCCCCUUCCACCACCAUUUUGGUCGGCAACACCGAAGAGGGGAAGGAGAGCGGCCUAAAUCUACUGCACAAGGGCCAACCUCAGUCCAAGUUAAUCUAGGUGGAAGGGGGAGUGGAAGAGAGGGGUGGGGUUAUCUGAACGACCAAUGCUACACAGAUGAAUGAUAUGGUACAGGAUUUACGGAGUGGCUUACGUAGGAUUCUGAGGUUGGAGAAUUAGGUGAAGGGCCCCAACCAGUUCAAUUCGGGUGGAGGGGGGGGGGGGUAGUAAGGAAUGUCUCAUAACAAUAGUUUUGCUACUUCUCAGCUACCUGAAUUUUUUUUGUUGCCUAAGUCAGUUUUUCCUUCAUCCCAAGUGCAUGAGAUGUGCACGCCAGACCUCGCCAAAGAAGAAGAAGCCCCACUAUCUAUCUUGAGGGAAGGGGGAGUCAUAGCCUCAUUAUCGANNNNNNNNNNNNNNNNNNNNNNNNNNNNNNNNNNNNNNNNNNNNNNNNNNNNNNNNNNNNNNNNNNNNNNNNNNNNNNNNNNNNNNNNNNNNNNNNNNNNNNNNNNNNNNNNNNNNNNNNNNNNNNNNNNNNNNNNNNNNNNNNNNNNNNNNNNNNNNNNNNNNNNNNNNNNNNNNNNNNNNNNNNNNNNNNNNNNNNNNNNNNNNNNNNNNNNNNNNNNNNNNNNNNNNNNNNNNNNNNNNNNNNNNNNNNNNNNNNNNNNNNNNNNNNNNNNNNNNNNNNNNNNNNNNNNNNNNNNNNNNNNNNNNNNNNNNNNNNNNNNNNNNNNNNNNNNNNNNNNNNNNNNNNNNNNNNNNNNNNNNNNNNNNNNNNNNNNNNNNNNNNNNNNNNNNNNNNNNNNNNNNNNNNNNNNNNNNCACCGGCUAGCCAGGGAGUGAGGGGGAAGGAGAAGGAGGCAAGAGGUUAGUCAUGGUUUGGUCGGCGGCUGCGUGAGGAAGAAGAAGGUGCAGGUUAAAGAUAAACAAUGCUUGAUCUAUUCUUAGCUCUUGGAUGAAGAUCUAAUGGACUUUGAUGAAAAUGAAGUGACAGAUGAUACUUUUUUUCAGGUACCUCUUUUUUGUUAGGGAUGUUUUUUCAGGUACCUGAUAAGUGCCGGGGAGAGUACGUACUCCCGUUGUCUCUUUUUUUUUGCAGGGAGUACUCCCGUUGUCUCGCCGUGUUACACGAUAUAUGCACGGUAGCAUGCAUGCACAAGACUACGGUAGGGUCGUCCCCUAGUUGUUGUUUUUUUGUCCAAAACGAAAGGUGCAUGCUCUCUGAUUGAUCGAUCCAUCUACUAUGAAUGCUCAUAUACAGACACAAGCGCUCAUAUACAGGCGCAUACACUCACCCGUAUGAACGCACACACGCACACCCUAUCUCUAUGAGCAUCUCUGCAAGACUGAGCCGGCAUAUCAUCUUGAGAUUUACGAAGCCACCGUAGGCGCCUCGUCGUCGACGGGAACGUCUCCUCCCACUGAAAGCACAUCGCCGGAAAUUCAGAAAUAAUGCGAGCACCAGGAUUUGAACCCUGGUGGGAUGGGGAUAUCACUGUCCAUCUAACCAUCUCAACCACGGGUUGGUUCGCCUGUGAGCGCAUAUAUAAUGGAGAUAUUUUGUUGAUUUUGUUGAUAUGUUGCACCGAUUUGAACACGUGGGGUGGCACGCAUCGACCGACCUCCACGCAACGAAUAAUGGAGAUAUGAAAGGCCAGUGCCUCCAAGAGCCAACAAGUGAAGAUGGUCCGCUGAGGAUAAGAUGAUAGAAUCUUCCUCCAUUGUUGCUCUUUUUUUUUGUUCUUCCUCUACACCAUUACUGCAUGUAUGUUCCAUAGAAUGCGAUGCUCUGUCCAAGAUUUUCCAACCUCCAAAAUAUAAAAAGACCACAAUGCUAGGGAUCUGCCAUAGCCACAAAUAUCACAAACCGAUCCCGCAACAACAACAACAACAACAACAAAAACAACAACAACAACAACAACAACAACAACAACAACAACAACAAUAACAACAACAGCAACAAAACAUCACACAUUGAUGACCACUUUUGCCAAAGAUGUGGGAUAAGUUUCACCUAAAAACACACUCAGAUUAUGAGUUAUCCAUGUUGCCCAUGCCAGCGCAUUGCAGCAGCCCUUGCCACAUGCAAAUCCGAGAGUGAAUCGUGUGUUCGAUCUCCUCGGACGAAUUACAGCGUCAAAUAAAAAGUGUGUAACACGUAUGCAUGCUUGAUCUGCUAGUAACGUGGUGCUACCAUUUAUUGAUACUUUGCCACAGCUAGCAUGCAGUGACCGCAUGAAUGUGAUGUUGUAGCUGGCUAGGGUCUUCUUCGAUCUACAUAGAUUUUCAAACAUCGAAAAUGGAUAUUGAUCUAUUCAUCUUCAAUAAUAGUAGUACAAUGUACAGUAGAAAAAAUUAAAAAUUACAUCCCAUCCGCAGACUAUGUAAUGACGACUACAAGCUCUGAGGCGAGCUGAAGGCGCGCUGCUGUCAUCGCCCCUCCCUCGCCAGAGCCGGGCAAACAUUAUUGUAGUAGAUAGUCGGGAAGUUGUCAUGCUAAGGCCACAUAGAACUAACGCACCAGAACAGCAACCGCCACCGAUGAAGAGUGUAUAUCUGAAAUAUCCAACCUCAAGACACAAGAACAUAGACGAACGAUGAACAUAUCCGAGAAAAUCCAGCAAAGACAGAUCCGCCGGAGACACACCUCCACACGCCCACCGAUGAUGCUAGACGUAUCAACGGAAUAGGGAGUAGGUGGGGAGACCUUAUUCCAUCUUCAGGGAGCCGCCGCCAUCUCGCCUUCCUGAGCAGGACAAAAACCCUAACAAAAAUAAAAAAAAAGGAUCUAAAAAUGGAGCCCUCCCACCGGCAAGGGUCGGGAUCCACUCCGCCCCCUUGGCCCUAAGGCCACCGGUGACGGGGUGGACCGGCGACGGCACCGACAGGAGGCAGAGGAACCCUAGAUUUUUGGGAGGUGGCGGCUAGCUAGGUCGUCUCAUCUGGCCUCUGAUGGCUGCAACUGCAACAUCGCCCCUAGGAUUGACAGAAAACGGAUAUGAUCUGCUCCGAUACCCACUGGUUUGUGAAGUGAAAGAUGGCAUUGCUCGGUUUUUCAACUGGCAGAAGGGACUCCUAGGAUCCCAAAUCUGGUGUUAGAUUAGCAAAAGUGUUACAGCUGUACACAAAGGACCCUGACAAAAUAAAAAUUACACAUUGGUCCUCCAUUCUACAAUUAUAAGCCCUCAAGAAAAAGGAAAAACACAAUUGGGUUUCGAUCACCAUGGCGACCUCACUGGAGAUGCAAAAGCCACCAUCUCCGGAAGCAACAUUGCCAGCUCUGGGCAACAAGAAUAUGGCCUCCACACUAGAGGUUGAAGAAGGGGGCAUCAAAAAAAGCGAGCAAAGCAAGGAACAACUGGUGAACAACCCUAGCCGCUUAAAUCGCACGCUCUAAACAUUUCCAUGGUUGAUCUGCGGCUCCAGCGCGAAGUUUGAUGCAAAGGUUGAUGAAGAAUACACCGAUACAGCGAGGCCAAUGGGAAUCCCCACGGAUCCAAAGCUCGGAAGAGCGGGAGCGUAGAUUUACCGCUUUUCCUACCGCGCCUCCACGAAGGUAAAUAAGAGAGAGCCAACAGGGAGCUUGCUCCUCCCAAUUCCAGGUCCCAUCAAUAUUAUUAUUAGAGAGGCUCUCACCAAAUCCUCCAUACACCGCUACCAUCCACUUCAGAGAAUAUAAAGUAGAGAAGAAAGACACCGAGCCGAUGCCGAUGGUAGAGCCAGCAUCCGAAGCUAUACAACGACAUGAUCUGGCAGGUAUGCGACGGCAUGGGAGCCGGCAUCACUCAAGGUACUUCCUUCGCCUCGUAGACCUUAACAGGAACUCGAGGGUAAAGAAAAGGACUGGAGUAGUCGUCGAAUCUGGAUCCAAACACCUCAUUAUUUGUCAGGAGAAGCAAAGAAAAAGAAACCUACCACUACGCACGAACAAGCCCCCCUUCCACCCCCAUUCCGGUUGUCAACAUAGGUGGAGAAUAGGGGAAGGAGGGUGUUCUGAAUCUACGACACAAGGGCCGACCUCAGUCCAUGUCAAUCUAGGUGGAAGGGGAAGUGGAAGAGAGGGGUGGGGGUUAUCCGAAUGAGCAAUCCUACACAUAUGAAUGAUAUGGUACAUGAUUAACGAGGUGGCUUGUGUGGGACUUUAUGGUUGCAGAAAUUAGAGGAAGGGCCCCACCCGGAAUGGGGGGGGGGGGUAUUAAGGAAUGUCCGGUGAUAACGGUUUUUCUAUUUCUAAGGUACCGUUUUUGUUGCGUUGGUCACUUUUUCCUUCUCCGUUCCUUCUUCCCGAGUGCAUAAGAUGUGGAGGCCGGACCCCAUUAUCUAUUUUAGGGCGCAAGCCACAACCCCAUUAUCUAUCUUAGGGUGAAGCCACAACCCCAUUAUUUAUCUUAGGGGUGGGGGUGCAGGAGGUCAUCAGAGUUGUUCACUGGUGUGACAGGGAUUAUAGGGAUGGCUGGGNNNNNNNNNNACAACACACUACCAGUAACGGCGCCCACCGCGCACGCGCCCAUGCCGUCGCCGGCGCCGAAGCUUGGAGGUGCAAACAUCGCCAGCCGGUGGCGCGAGCUCCAGGGCUCGGACUCGUGGGUUGGGCUCCUGGACCCGCUGGACUACGACCUCCGACAAUCCAUCAUAUCUUACGGCGAGCUCGCAUCGGCCGCCCACGACGUGUUCAACCUUGAGAAGCGGUCACCUCACGCCGGCUUCUGCUUGUACAGCCGCGACCACCUUCUCGCCGCCUCCACCGUGACCCACCCUGAGUACUACAAGGUCACCAAGUUCCUCUACGCGACCUGCGGGGGAUCAACGGCAUCGAGGUUGGCCACAUCCGUGCCAACGGUGACCAACGCGCUGUUCGUGCAACCGCUGGGAAAGGCCGAGGGGACUCCGACGUCCAACUGGAUGGGUUACGUGGCGGUGGCGACGAACGAGGGAGUUACAGCACUGGGGAGGCGUGACAUCGUCGUGGUGUGGCGCGGCACCGAGAACGAGUUGGAGUGGGAGGAAGACAAGCACUUCCUUCAGGUGUCUGCCGCGCCGGUGUUGGGCCGCUAUGCUGACGAAGAUUACAAGAACGCCAAGGUGCACCGUGGCUUCCUAUCCGUGUACACGUCCAGUGACAACAACUCCAUGUACAACAAGACCAGCGCCAGAGAGCAGGUGAGCCUUGCAUACUUCAUAUAUAUAUAUUGUCCUGUUCAAUCUUAGGCUUAAUAACAUACCAGCAGCCGGAAUUGUUCAAGGUGAAAUUUGUCUUCACUAAAGGUGUACGCACACAUGCAGGUUCUCGAGGAGGUAGGGAGGCUAAUGGAGGAGUACAAGGACGAGGUGACCAGCAUCACCGUCACCGGCCAUAGCCUUGGAGCGUCACUCGCCACCCUCACCGCCAUCGACCUGGUGGCCAACGACGUCAACGUGCCCCCUAACUCGAAGCAACCGCCGUGCCCCGUGACAGCGAUACUGCUGGCGUGCCCGCGAGUCGGGAACCCCACGUUCAAGUCCGCCUUCG
rnacentral:lncRNA from 1 species